rfam:Triticum urartu cultivar G1812 contig469309, whole genome shotgun sequence.
AUAAUACUCCCUCCGUUCGAAAUUACUUGUUGCCGAAAUUGAUGUAUCUAAACGUAUUUUAAUUUUAGAUACAUCCACUUUCAAGACAAGUAAUUCCGAACAAAGAAAGUACCUA